GUUGGCCAGAAAAGAAGUAGCUUCGUAAACAAAGCUUAAAAACAGACUCUUCUUUGCCUACUUCAUCUAUAAUGCAACGGAACCUUUAGUUCAGGUCGGGACGCCAAAAACAGACUACUGUGCCACUAAGUGCUGCGUUCACGGUGAAAGCCAGCGUUGCACUGUAAACUCCACUUCACU